rnacentral:lncRNA from 1 species
CACUCUUAGGCAAGGUGUAGAAAAUGUAAUCAGUUCUGUUCAGUGCCAAUCUGGCUGUGUUUCCCUUUAAUUGCUCUGGUUGUGCUAAUUGACAUGAUUAAAGUAAUCGAUGCCCGUUCCUCUCUUGGCACAGGAGAGAAAUGUGGUAGGUGCGUCGUCAAGCUGGUCGGAGUGCCGGAGCUGGAUCGGAGCUUUGUGGACAUCGCCGACACCUUCAAUCGCCAGCAGGAGGGUCACCAGGCUAUGACACAAAGCGUAAGACAGCUGAAGAGCAGCGCCGGGGGCGGCCCUGGGAGCAGUCUGAGUGACUGUCUGGAGCAGAUGAAGAAGGAGCACGGUGCCUGCAACAUCAGCAUUCAGAUGAAGGGCUAUGACUUCUCGCUGGUGGUGCAGCCAGACGCCACCUCUGCCAAGCUGCUGGAGGCCCAGGAGCAGGUCAGGAGGGCCAGUCAGGGGUCCAAGUCCGUAGCCGCUGCUGGCACCAAGCUGCAGGAGAUGAUCAGCUCGGUGCUGCAGGGCGAGGCGCUGCUGUCCCGGAGAGUGAAGGAGGCCAGCCAGACCUACCAGGAGCAGGUCCGCGUGGAGGCCAACCUGAGGGACAACCUUCUGGAGGUCCGCAGAGCCAGGGAGCUCUCGGCCCAGUACAGGAAAGAGGCCGGUGCCCUGCUCAAUGAGGUGGCACAGCUCGCCGGCAUCACCCCCUAGUUCACUGCAGCGCUGCAGCUCAGCGCAGCAGGAUGCGCAGCUCUCACCUGCUCUGCUGUAGGACCUCAAGUGUCUGCUUCUGCGCUGGAGGUGGCAGUGAAGAGCAGCGGUGAGGCCGCUGGGCUGCUGCCUGGAGGGCUGUGUGUGCUUGAGGGAAGGACUUGACUGUCUGCAUCACUUUACACGCCGGUAUCGGCUUUGCGUGGGUUAGCCCUGCGGGGCACCUGUGGCCCCCCCGGGGGCGAGUCUCACGCUCUUUCUGCCUCCAGCCUGAUGAGACACUAGGCAUGAGGAAGGACUCUCCCUUACUUUCUACAAGCAUUGUAAGUGUAUGCUAGAUAUAAAUGUUGGGGUGGGGAGCUGCGUCAGCAUGCGUAGGCUGCAAGGGAACAAGUAAUAGGUUUAUUCCAUGCUGAAAAAAAGAAGAAAGAGAACACAACGUUUCGGCCGUGGAGCCUUCUUCAGGUGCCUUCUUCAGGCUCUUUGACACCUGAAGAAGGCUCCACGGCCGAAACGUUGUGUUCUCUUUCUUCUUUUUUUCAGCAUGGAAUAAACCCAUUACUUGUUCCUAGAUAUAAAUGUGUGAGCAUAUUAAUACAGAGUAUUCAUAGGUGUUAAAGGUAUUCAUGGCAUAUAAGAUGGUGUAUUAUGUUUUUAAAACAUAAUCACCGUCAGUGUAUUUUCUAACAAUUAAUUGCUUGAGUUUGUACAGCGAUUAACAUAUAGGAGAGGACUCACUUCUGAAGGGAAUUCACCACUGAAGCACAGCCCCCAGCUCCACUGUGCAGCAGAUCAGGUGGAGAACGGGGACACGGGUUCACUCUAUGAAUGAAGGCAGACAUUUACAUUGACUUACAGUACUCUUAUGGCACUGCUCUUUGGCCCUUUGGUUUGGUGUUCUGUUUGACUGAUGGUGCCCGGCGCUCCUCUCGCUGGGCGAGAUGAAAGGAGAUCUCACCCACACCCUGCCCGGGGCGUCGGAGAGAACGCGCUUCUCAGCUGUGGGCUCCCAGCUGGCUUGUGCAUCCCUGGCCGAGCAGGCUUGAAAGGGCUUUGAAAGGUGGGCUCAUCCUAAGUUGGGGAGCUCUGUUUGCACCAUUUCUGAAAACCUUUUCCCUGCAGCCCUGCCAGGUUUCUAAGACACUGCAUUGAACAGCAGUGGAGGCUUCUCUGGAAACUGAACUUUUUAUGUAACUGGAGCCUGCUGUUGCGUAACACAGAGGCUGAGAAUAUCAGCUCUUUUCAAGUGUUAGUAAAAUUCUGGCCCUUGUAGGGACAGUAUGUAUCUUUUGCGGGCUCUUCUGGAAUGAGCUCUUCACUCUAAAGGCAGCUGUUGAUAUCGGCUCAUGCUGUUAUUCGCAUAGGACCCGAGGAGGGAUGUCUGCCUUCUUCAGGCUGUGUUUAAACGUGUUGUAGCUCUGCAAGGACCCUGCUGUCACACGGACUCGCACGCUGCUCCCUGCUGCAGGGGACGAGCCCUGAAGGUGCCUGCAGCACGUGGCGGCUCGGCUGUCAUCGGGAGAGCAUGCAGCGCUCAGGGAGGAUCUGCAGACCCGGCUCAGCCCCGAAAGCAUGUCUUGAAGUUUGUUGUGCAGCUGGAAGGUGGUUGCUUCCAGUGUGCCUGACUCGUCUCUAUGUGCGUUGCUGUUCCCCACAUGGUGACCCUAAUUAGACUUGACAGGGUGAAGGUCGUGGUUGGAGGGUAGGAAGGGCUCACUGACUGCGGCAAAGGGCUUCCAAGAGCCUGGAGUUGAGCCAUGAAGCCGCUGUUGUUGUUGAUGUUGUCUCCUGCUAGCCGGCGCCUCUGUUUUCCCUGCAGGAGAAGUGCAAUGGGUAGUGGGGGUGGGUAAAUGUAGGCAAGUGAGCCUGAGAGAGGGACAGGCUGUAGCAAAGGGAUGGAAUUUGAAAAUGUCGUAUUUUAGACAAUGGCAGUGGUUUCCACUUUAACUGAUCAGGUGGAAUUUCAAUAUGGCACACACUAUCUCUGCAUUUUAAGUGCCUUUAAGUAUAUUAACCCCCUAUGCCCUUAUGAAUUCGUACCAUAUGCUUGUGCCUACAACAGAGCAUCAUGUCUGCAUGCAGUGGCGGUGUUUGUACAUCCUUCUGAUUUUUUUUAACACAGUGAUUUUAGGAACUUGGCCACUCCUGACUUAAUGGGACCAGUAAAUUACUAAUUAUCCAACCUCAGAAGUGUUACGAAUGUUAAGAGAUCCAUGAAUUAAGUCUCCCAGGCCUGGUGCUGGUCACACCCUGUCCUCUGCAGAGACUGGGGCGGAUCAGGACCAGGGUCGAGACCCCCUGAGCCAGAAGACCUGUGGGAUGCAGAAGUGAUGAUAUGAAUGAAAGCUGAUAUGAUAAUAUUUCUUCUCACUAUUCAGUUACAUACUGUAUGGCUCUGUUGGUUCUUCUCGGAGUAGUGUAGAGGACAGUUUAUUUUAUAUUCUUAAAGAUUAACUGAGAAAUGCUUGUUUUAUUCAUUAUUGCAAAAAGAUUUUCUGAGCAUGCGCUUGUCAUUAAGUGUAUGAGCACUGAUCGAGUGUUGUAACUAGCAAGAUCUGAUUUGAAUAAUGAAUUAAUUUCGAGCCCUGAAAUGUAAUGAUGUACCGGAAAUAUCUUUACUUCUUGAACAUGGUGUAUUUGUGAAAUUUAUAAGAAUAUUUUACCUGCACUAUUACUGUGAAAGUAGGUUUUUCAACUGUUUUUGUUUCUUGUACACUAAAUCCCCUCUGUACCCCUGUAAGGGCUUCAGUUUUGUGCUUUGCUGCUCUGUAUAAUGUGUUAGCUUCAUUAACCAUCAUCUUGCUUUGCAAUGGCCCUAAUAUGUAUCUCUAUUUUAUACACAAAUAUUCUCUUUACUUAAAAAAAAAACUAAUUUCUAAAAUUGUUCAGUUGAAAGGAUCUAUAAUUUCAGUUUACCACUUUUGUCAAAGUUGAUACCUUGGCUCUUUUCAACACAAGGCCGGAUGAGAUCCUCAGCUUCUUUAGCUACUGAAAAGCAGACGUGCUGGAUGAGCCGAGAGAGCUGUUCUCCUUGGUAACUGUGCUCAAAAGCUACAGUGAACGAUAACAGACAGCAAACUGACACAUGAAGUAAGGACAUAAAGAAGGAUUCAAACGAGAAGGGGCCACUCAGUCCAUUUAGUCUUUAGUAGCUGUAAACAUCUGAACAGUUAGAAAUUACAGGAAGCCAUUUGGCCUGUCAAGCUCUGAUGGUAUCUGGUAGUUAACUGACCUGAGGAUCACAGUGUUUCUUCAGCUAAACCAGAGUUUCUCCUUCAACAACAUGGCUGGGCAGUGUGUUCCCAACUCUAACAGCCUUUAUAAGAACAUAAUUAUUUACGGAUUGAGCAGUUUUUAGUUUUAAUGACUUUAAAGACCUGGUACCCUUUUUACUUUCAGAAUGCUAUUGCCAUUGAAAAUGGACCUUUUAAAACUAUGAAUAUGUGAUCAUUGUUCUCUGCCCUAGCACAAAUCUUUUUAAUUAUUCUGUUUUUGUUUGUUGUUAAUGGAUUUACACCCCAUUCCAUCAGGAACAUGUGAUGCAUUUUUGUUCUUGUGAAUCUGAGCCCCUGAGUAAAGCCUUCAUUGUAUAUUGCUGAGAAGAGAAUGUGAACAGUUCAAAGGUUUAUUUCUAUAAUUGCAUGUAAUUAGCAGAUUGAAUCACAUUUAUAAAAAUGCUGCAUUAAGUUAAUAAUGUGAUACUGUGAUUUUGAAGAAUCAAAAUGAAGUAUUUUAUGUAUAUUGUAGUUUUAAUUUAAAACCUCUUGAAGUCUAAAAUACUGUAUAUUAUUGAAGUUGCUUGUUGUGUAUUCAUGCAUUGUACUAAUAGCACUUUGGUGGUAAUCUUAGUUUGCCAUAAUAAACUGAUGACCUAUAAAAUGUAAUGUAAAAUGUAAAAUGUAAGGGUUACUGGUUAAUUAUACUUUUGACAUGGUCUCUGAAUUUUGGAAUUAAAUUUAUGUUGCCGAAUAAAUGUUGCAGUAAAUUAAAUUUGUUGCAGACUCAAA